rnacentral:rRNA from 1 species
GAUGAACGCUGGCGGCGUGCCUAAUACAUGCAAGUCGAGCGAACAGAUGAGGAGCUUGCUCCUCUGACGUUAGCGGCGGACGGGUGAGUAACACGUGGAUAACCUACCUAUAAGACUGGGAUAACUUCGGGAAACCGGAGCUAAUACCGGAUAAUAUAUUGAACCGCAUGGUUCAAUAGUGAAAGACGGUUUUGCUGUCACUUAUAGAUGGAUCCGCGCCGCAUUAGCUAGUUGGUAAGGUAACGGCUUACCAAGGCAACGAUGCGUAGCCGACCUGAGAGGGUGAUCGGCCACACUGGAACUGAGACACGGUCCAGACUCCUACGGGAGGCAGCAGUAGGGAAUCUUCCGCAGUGGGCGAAAGCUUGACGGAGCAACGCCGCGUGAGUGAUGAAGGUCUUCGGAUCGUAAAACGCUGUUAUUAGGGAAGAACAAAUGUGUAAGUAACUAUGCACGUCUUGACGGUACCUAAUCAGAAAGCCACGGCUAACUACGU